CCGAACGGCAGAAGUGGUGAUGGGCGCGUAUUUUCCGCCGGGCUCUUGGCCGGCGUACUUGUGUGCGUCCGUAGGUCAGCGUGGGUUGGGGCGUGGGAGUCGUUCAUGGGAAGGUC
rnacentral:rRNA from 1 species